rnacentral:lncRNA from 1 species
AGGUCAAAACAAAAAAAAAAUUUAAAGCCUGACACAAUUAUCAGGCAAUAAUGGGUCUAAAAUAUGAGUUGGUGGUGGCCAUUAACAGGCUAAAACCCCUAUUCUACUGUUCAUUUUAAGUCAUUUUUGUGAUUAUUUUUUAACCUGGUUCAUUUUUAUAUAUAUUAAAAUUUUUGGGUCAAUUUAGUAAAAUAAUCUAAAUUAUUGAUAGCACAAAAAAAAACUUAAAAGAUUAUUAAUAAGAACAAACAUAGCCAAUUCAGAAAACCAUCGGUCUUAACCACGUUGGAUUUGUAUUUUACAUGGGUGCAAGAGGAGACUCUCCUGUAACCUCGAAGCUUACCAUAGCACUCAAAACAUGACCAUGGAGCAUGUCAAUCCCCAGCCAAGUCCUUAUUUGCCCAACAAAAGGAACGAAGCACAACAUUGAAACCAUUUUGUCAAGUCAGUGUCGAUGGUUGGGUAAAAGCCCAUCAGAAGGCCACACAUUAACCACUGUUGCUAAGGAAAGCCGCCACCUGCUACCCUCAUCUUCUCCAAACAAAGGUGUAGAAUGAAGAAGGCAGGCAGCUUUAGAAAGCAAAAACAACGUCAAUUCUGCCCAUCAAAGUCAGAUCCCCACCCACAACUAGUGAGCAAGGUCAAAGAGGACAUCAUCGGCUACAAUGAGACCCAUGGCGGUUUACUUAUUUUUCAUUAAAAGCCGAAGAGAUUACAAACCCAAGAAGUUCCGGUGAGACCUCCAAAGGAAGCCAGGCCCAGCCUCCGGUCCGACUAUAAAAUAUCAAGUUCAAAGUUCCGGUGAGUCACCGUUAACAACCGAGAAGGGAGGAGAGUUGUCGGUGAAAUCAACAUCGUCAAGGCUGUUGUUCCCACGUCCAACAGAUCACUUGGAAAGGAGCCUAAGCCAAGGGCGGGUCCAGGAUUAGAAGCUUUGUCUGUACUGAAGCUGUUUUUGCUUGUAAAUCUCUUAUAUUAUGUAUAUGAAAGUUUUCUCAUUGCCCAAAAAAGGUAUCCUCUGUUAUGAGGCUAAGGCAAAGACCCAAUUGCUUGGCGAGGUUCAAGCGCCGUUCCUAAUAUUUAUUGCUUUGACACUUUCAUCCCUUCAUCUUAUGUUAAUAGAGCAUCACUUCUGCGGAUGGUCAACUUUUUAAGAGAUUAUCUCUUAAUAGAUAUUAUCUCAUUCAUUUAAGA